UACGGAGGGAGCUAGCGUUGUUCGGAAUUACUGGGCGUAAAGCGCGCGUAGGCGGCUUUGUAAGUUAGAGGUGAAAGCCCGGGGCUCAACCCCGGAACUGCCUUUAAAACUGCAUCGCUUGAAUCCGGGAGAGGGAUGUGGAAUUCCCGGUGUAGUGGUGAAAUGCGUAGAUAUCGGGAGGAACACCAGUGGCGAAGGCGACUACCUGGCCUGUUCUUGACGCUGAGGCGCGAAAGCUAGGGGAGCAAACGGG
rnacentral:rRNA from 1 species